UUAAGUUCAGCGGGUAUCCCUACCUGAUCCGAGGUCAACCUGUAAAAAUGUGGGUUUCCCGGCGCGAGGCCCCCGACCCCGCGAGCGGUUUGAUAAAUCACAACGCUCGGAGACGGACGCAUCGGCCGACGACAUUGAGGCGCGCGGGAGACCGCGGCGCCCAAGACAAGCCAGGCUUGAGUGGUGUAAUGACGCUCGGA
rnacentral:misc_RNA from 1 species